UGACAUUACCGAUAGAAAAAGCACCGGCUAACUCCGUGCCAGCAGCCGCGGUAAUACGGAGGGUGCAAGCGUUAAUCGGAAUUACUGGGCGUAAAGCGUGCGUAGGCGGCUGUUUAAGUCAGAUGUGAAAGCCCCGGGCUUAACCUGGGAACUGCAUUUGAUACUGGGCAGCUAGAGUUGAGUAGAGGAGAGGGGAAUUUCAGGUGUAGCGGUGAAAUGCGUAGAGAUCUGAAGGAACACCAGUGGCGAAGGCGCCUCUCCGGACUCAAACUGACGCUGAGGUACGAAAGCGUGGGUAGCAAACAGGAUUAGAUACCCUGGUAGUCCACGCCGUAAACGAUGUCAACUAGCCGUUGGUCUUAUUCGUAAGAUUAGUGGCGUAGCUAACGCGAUAAGUUGACCGCCUGGGGAGUACGGCCGCAAGGUUAAAACUCAAAUGAAUUGACGG
rnacentral:rRNA from 1 species